rnacentral:rRNA from 1 species
GGGGAGCAAGCGUUGUUCGGAUUUACUGGGCGUAAAGGGCGCGUAGGCGGUGUGACAAGUCACUUGUGAAAUCUCCGGGCUUAACCCGGAGCGGCCAAGUGAUACUGUCGUGCUAGAGUGCGGAAGGGGCUACUGGAAUUCUCGGUGUAGCGGUGAAAUGCGCAGAUAUCAGGAGGAACACCGGUGGCGAAGGCGGGUCUCUGGGCCGAUACUGACGCUGAGGAGCGAAAGCGUGGGGAGCGAGCAGG